AGCGAACGCUGGCGGCAGGCUUAACACAUGCAAGUCGAGCGGGCGUAGCAAUACGUCAGCGGCAGACGGGUGAGUAACGCGUGGGAACAUACCUUUUGGUUCGGAACAACACAGGGAAACUUGUGCUAAUACCGGAUAAGCCCUUACGGGGAAAGAUUUAUCGCCGAAAGAUUGGCCCGCGUCUGAUUAGCUAGUUGGUGAGGUAACGGCUCACCAAGGCGACGAUCAGUAGCNGGUCUGAGAGGAUGAUCAGCCACAUUGGGACUGAGACAUGGCCCAAACUCCUACGGGAGGCAGCAGUGGGGAAUAUUGGACAAUGGGCGCAAGCCUGAUCCAGCCGUGCCGCGUGAGUGAUGAAGGCCCUAGGGUUGUAAAGCUCUUUUGUGCGGGAAGAUAAUGACGGUACCGCAAGAAUAAGCCCCCGGCUAACCUUCGUGCCAGCCGCCGCUGUAA
rnacentral:rRNA from 1 species